GCAGGAUGUGGUCAACUGCAAUUGAAUGGAUGUUUUUGGAAACUCCUGGGCUCCACCAAACACCUCCAAGCACAGAGAGACAUGGACCGAGCAACAAACACAUGAGGUCGACUCUUCAGAAAUGACAGAGUCAACAAAUCUUCAGAAAAAAUACCCUACUGAUAUUGAAAGAACACCUUUAGCACCCCAGGAACCCAGGAAAACACCCAGGAAAAAUCCAGUGCUAUACAGUAAGUAUGGUUAAAAAAAAG
rnacentral:lncRNA from 1 species